rnacentral:rRNA from 1 species
AUUGAACGCUGGCGGCAUGCCUUACACAUGCAAGUCGAACGGUAACAGGCCGCAAGGUGCUGACGGGUGGCGAACGGGUGAGUAAUGCAUCGGAACGUGCCCAGUCGUGGGGGAUAACUGCUCGAAAGAGCAGCUAAUACCGCAUACGACCUGAGGGUGAAAGCGGGGGACCGUAAGGCCUCGCGCGAUGGGAGCGGCCGAUGUCAGAUUAGGUAGUUGGUGGGGUAAAGGCCUACCAAGGCAACGAUCUGUAGUUGGUCUGAGAGGACGACCAGCCACACUGGGACUGAGACACGGCCCAGACUCCUACGGGAGGCAGCAGUGGGGAAUUUUGGACAAUGGGCGAAAGCCUGAUCCAGCAAUGCCGCGUGUGUGAAGAAGGCCUUCGGGUUGUAAAGCACUUUUGUCCGGAAAGAAAUGGCUCUGGUUAAUACCUGGGGUCGAUGACGGUACCGGAAGAAUAAGGACCGGCUAACUACGUGCCAGCCGCCGCGGUAAUAC